rnacentral:misc_RNA from 1 species
GAUGAAGAACGUAGCGAAAUGCGAUAAGUAAUGUGAAUUGCAGAAUUCAGUGAAUCAUCGAAUCUUUGAACGCACAUUGCGCUCUUUGGUAUUCCGGAGAGCAUGCCUGUUUGAGAAUCAGUAAAUUCAUCAAUCCAAGGUACUUGGGAUUUAUUCCUUGAACCUUUGGGUUGGAUCUGGGCACUUUGCUGCUUCGGCAGCAAUAGCCUGAAAUUGAAUGUCACGCUUUCAUGGACUGAAAAGUCUUGAGCAAACGCAUGAAUGGGGAAACUCAGAAUUACGCUAGCUUGAGACCUUGAUUUUCUUGAUUGUGCGACUCAACUGAUCAAUCAGUAUUUUGCCGGUGUCAACCAGCUUAUUCUGAACACUUGGUCUCAAAUCAGGUAGGAAAACCCGCUGAACUUAAGCAUAUCAAUAAGCGGAGGA